rnacentral:lncRNA from 1 species
AACCUUAUUAUCAGUCAUAUGAUAGAUUCGAUUAGCUCAAGUCUAAUUGUGAUCUUUAUAAAAAUUCUUUUCUAUCAAUCACACUGUAGUGGCCAUAGACUCUCGAACUUAACCUCUCAAAUUCUAUAGGACUACUCCUCUCUAUCAAGAUCGAUAAAUUUUAUAUAGAUGCACACUCUACUCCUACUGUGGACUAACUGUCGCUAACAUCCACUAUAAGUCUUAAUAAGGUCAUGUUUAUGUAUCAGUCAAACUUCAGCAGCCUUACUGCGAAUAGUUGUACCAUCAUAAAUCAAAGGAUCAUUCAUACAACUAC